GCCUUAAGAUUAGACAUGGCCCAGAACUUGAAGGACUUGGCGGGACGCCUGCCCGCCGGGCCCCGGGGAAUGGGCACCACGCUGAAGCUGCUGCUGGGGACUGGCGCUGUGGCCUAUGGUGUCCGCGAAUCCGUGUUCACCGUGGAAGGCGGGCACAGAGCCAUCUUCUUCAAUCGGAUCGAUGGAGUGCAGCGGGACACUAUCCUGGCCGAGGGCCUUCACUUCAGAAUCCCCUGGUUCCAGUACCCCAUUAUCUAUGACAUUCGGGCCAGACCUCGGAAAAUCUCCUCCCCCACAGGCUCCAAAGACCUGCAGAUGGUGAAUAUCUCCCUGUGAGGGCUGUCUCGACCCAAUGCUCAGGAGCUUCCUAGCAUGUACCAGCGCCUAGGGCUAGACUACAAGGAAGGAGUGUUGCCGUCGAUUGUCAAGGAGGUGCUCAAGAGUGUGGUGGCGAAGUUCAAUGCCUCACAGCUGAUCGCCCAGCACGCCCAGGUAUCCCUGUUAAUCUGCCGGGAGCUGACAGAGAGGGCCAAGGACUUCAGCCUCAUACUGGAUGAUGUAGCCAUCACAGAGGUGAGCUUUAGCUGAGAGUACACAGCUGCUGUAGAAGCCAAACAAGUGGCCCAGCAGGAGGCCCAGCGGGCCCAGUUCUUGGCAGAAGAAGCGAAGCAGGAACAGCGGCAGAAGAUCGUGCAGGCCGAGGCUGAGGCCGAGGCUGAGGCCGAGGCUGCCAAGAUGCUUCGAGAAGCUCUGAGCAAGAACCCUGGCUACAUCAAACUUCGCGAGAUCCGGGCAGCCCAGAAUAUCUCCAAGACGAUCGCCACAUCACAGAAUUGCAUCUAUCUCACUGCUGACAACCUUGUGCUGAACCUACAGGGUGAAAGUUUCACCCGAGGAAGUGACAGCCUCAUCAAGGGUAAGAAAUGAGCCUAGUCACCGAGAACUCCAUCCCCAGAAGAAGUGGAUCUGCUUCUCCUGUUUUUGAGGAGCCAGCCUGGGGUCCAGCACAGCCCUACCCCCACCCCAGAAUCAUGUGAUGGUCCCCUGCACCUGUCCCCCAAACCCCUCUUGGAUUAAGGAAGACUGAAGACCAGCCCCUUUUCUGGGGAAUUACUUUCCUCCUCCCUGUGUCGGCCGGGGAUGUUGGGACAGUGUGUGAUUUCUCAAUGAUUUCCUACAGUGUUGUUCCCUCCCUCAAGGCUGGAAGGAGAUAACCACCAACCCAGGAAUUCUCAAUAAAUUUUUAUUACUUAAGCU